CGGGGUGAGUAAUGUCUGGGAAACUGCCUGAUGGAGGGGGAUAACUGCUGGAAACGGUAGCUAAUACCGCAUAACGUCGCAAGACCAAAGAGGGGAACCUUCGGGCCUCUUGCCAUCGGAUGUGCCCAGAUGGGAUUAGCUAGUAGGUGGGGUAACGGCUCACCUAGGCGACGAUCCCUAGCUGGUCUGAGAGGAUGACCAGCCACACUGGAACUGAGACACGGUCCAG
rnacentral:rRNA from 1 species